UACUGCAUGAGCCGGUGUUCGUCUUCGGCAAGAUUCGUCUCGCAUGUCGUUGUGGUCUUCCACUUCAAUGUGCUAGUCGGAUGUUGCUGGAUUCGUUCUGAGAUUAUACGGUUUUGAACUUGAUCAGGAUAAUACCUGCGAAAAGGAUCAUGCUCUGGUCUGUU
rnacentral:ncRNA from 1 species